UUCCAGUUACCUACACCCACCCACUUAUAAAAAGCAGAAUCGAUAGAACUUCUUUGCUGUUCAAUUUGCUGACUCGAAUAUGAAUUACUUAGUGAUAAUUUUGUUGUUGAGUUGUAUUAUAGUCAAAAUAGAGUCAGUUUGCAAAUGGACUCCUUGCGAAGGCUGGUUAAGAAAUGAUCAAGGUAUCUGCGAUCAAUACAAUUACGGUUUAUUCGCUAAAACCACCGAUGGCAGCAGCUGUAAAUUUGACUCGGCAAAGAGAAGAUGUUGUAAAGCAGAACAGAAAAUAUGUAAAUGGACAAGAUGUGUUGGUGAUAUCCAUGGACCCUAUUCAUGCAAGAAUCAAUACGGAAACGAAUGGAGACAAACCACUAAAAAAGAGAGAUGCAGUCGUAUAGCAUUUAAAUAUGAAUGUUGCAAUCAUUAAUUUCUUCAAUCAAUGGUUGCAAGUUGCAAUGCGUAAAUAGUAUUUUUCGUCACAAGUUUCAGGACUAGUCUUAAGCUUGU